CUGUGAUAACACAGAAUUGACUAUUCUGUGAUAAUAGUAUAAUAUUUAAUAAAGUAAUUUCAUAAAUUAACUAUAAUAUUAGGUAUGCAGUUUUUGAGUCAGUUGCUUAAGAUUUCAGAUUUGCAUCAAUGUCAUAGGGAUAAUCGUCACCAUAGGUGAUAUUCCAACAUUUUGUUAAUGUUAUUAUCAUUCGAUUCAUCUAAGCUAAAAUACCAUUCUGUAUUUGCUAGAGUUGCAAUAGAAAAUUUGAAAUAUAAGCUGAAAUGAUACGAUGAGCUUUGUGUAAUCUCAAGUACACUUUAUUUGAAGAAAACAUUUUUAACAUAAAAUUUCCGUUUUCCGAAGUAAGGUUCUUUUCGUUGUUUGUCAAUAGUAUUAACUUCACAACAGAAGAGUCUGACUUUGGGUGACUGUAAUUUUUUUUAAAAUAUACCAGUAUUCCAUUGUU